rnacentral:lncRNA from 1 species
GAUCUUCUGAAAGAAACUAACUGUGACGGUACAAUCCUUUACUCCGUCGAACAUUCCCUUCUUCCCAUAAAAUAAAAUCACCAAGUAAUCCACAGAGUAAUAAAUCGCUGGUAUUGCCGAAUAAUCCACACAUGAGCCAAGGCUUAAUGCUGGAACAAGUCUGAUUUACUGAGAAACAGGGCACACAAUUUAUACAGUACAUAACUCCUCCUCUGGGCCAGGCUAGAUAAUUGGGUUUGAGCACUUAUCAAACUCAAUUAUCUAGUGGCCAGAAAAGUUAAUAUUUUUCACAAUUAUUAAAAACAUACUUUAUACAUAACAUAUGGGUAGCUGAGGGUGAUGUGAGCAACAUAUCCAAAUUUCGUGAGAAUCCAUUUGGUAGUUUUGGAGUUAUACCGUUUGGAAGUUUGACUGGCUCGCUAUGAGGUUGUAGCCGACUCAGAGUUCUAUGAAAUCAGUGGUGUGAGCCGGUCUCCAUUCGGAUGAAAAUUGCAUGAAAACCCCCAUAGAUAUAAUGUAGCUGGUUACAUGAGAGUGCUCCCCUCGUUCGGUAGAUUGAAACUCCCGAACGCCAUUCGUGUGCAAUUCGUGUAAAUGGGUCAAACGGGAAUUCCAUGGGGGACCGGGGAUUGCUGGAGAGCCAUGCCGAAAUUAGUUCCAGGCGCUCGAUGCCUAAGUCCCGCUGGCCAUCCAUUCGGGAGGUUAAGAUGGCCGCCAUCAAUUGUUCUCGCCACGUGUUCAUAUCCCGGAAUGGCGGCCACCCAGGAGCACUCAGUUAGCUUGUGGUUUCAUACAAUAACACAGGAUUCUACGUUCUAAUUGCUACCCAGGGUGGUCCUUGUUCGGUAAAGUAGCUAUUUUACCGAACAAGGGAUUUUGACGAAUAGAAAGUAACGAAUGAACUAGUAAUAAAGGUAAUAAAUCCAACAAACAAAGUAGCAGGGAGGGAAAGUACCGAAUGCUGGAGGGUGAUUCUUCACAAUGGCUCCCCUUUUACUCCCUGCUCCGGCAGAUGUGGCUGGACCUUUCCCGGUCCAGUAAUGCUGACGGGUCUCCCAGCCAUUAGUUCGAGAGUAAGUCUGUUUGGCAGGAUAGCCCAUCAGCAUUCCCAUUUUGUUUGCCCGGCCGAUAGUGUAUGGUGAAGUCGUAGGGUUGGAGGGCAAGACUCCACCGGAGCAAGUGGGCAUUGUCACCAGAGACCCGGUUGAGCCAAACUAGAGGACUGUGGUCUGUGAUCAAGGUGAAGGCACGGCCAUACAGGUACGGAGUCAGUUUCUUGAGAGCCCAGACCACUGGGCACUCUUUUUCAAUGGCUGAGUAGCUGACCUCCCUGGGCAGAAGUUUCCAGCUUAGGUAGGCGACCGGUUGCUCUCCUCCGUCUUCUCCAAUCUGACUCAAAACUGCCCCCAGUCCAAACAUUGAAGCGUCUGUGUGGAUGAUAAAGCGUUUGUUAGGAUCUGGGGCAGCUAAUAUGGGGGCAUUGACAAGAGCUUGUUUUAACGCUUGGAAAGCCACCUCACACUCUGAGGACCACAGGACUUGUCGGGGUAGCUUCUUUUUUGUCAAGUCAGUCAGGGGUUUGGCUAGGGUACUAUAGUCAGGGACAAAGCGCCUGUAGUAACCGGCUGUUUCCAGGAAUGCCAUGACCUGCGUCUUUGUACGGGGAGUGGGCCAGUUGGCAACGGCCUCGAUCUUAGCGGGCUCUGGCCAUUGCCUACCUCAUCCAACCCGGUGACCCAAAUAUUGCACCUCCGCCAUACCAAAGUGGCACUUCUCAGGCUUCAAGGUCAAGCCGACCCCCCUAAUCCUAUCUAAUACGGACCCUACAUGCUCUAAGUGUGCCUCCCAGGUAUCACUAUAAAUAGUGAUAUCGUCCAGGUAGGCACACGCAUAAUCCUGGAGACCCUCUAAUAGGCGGUCCAUCCGUUGGAAGGUGGCAGGGGCGUUCUUCAACCCGAACGGCAUAACCCGAAACUGGUAGAGGCCGAACGGGGUGAUGAAGGCUGACUUGGGGACCGCGCCAUCUGCCAAGGGAAUCUGCCAAUAUCCUUUGUAGAGGUCUAUCGUGGUCAAGUACUUCCCCUUAGAUGAAAAAGUUAAAACAGAAUCCCAGUGAGUAAUAUGAAUAUAAAUAGAAACUCUAAACACCUUAGUGAGUAUCCCUUUAAACCUCACAAUAAAUAUAAGCAUACAUACCGUCUUGUCGUUGAGCCACCUGUAAUUGACACAGAAGCGGGUCGUGCCGUCCUGCUUCGGUACCAGGACCACAGGUGAGGCCCAAGGACUGUCAGAGUGUUCUAUCACUCCUAGCCGCAGCAUCUCAUCUAUCUCCUUCUGCAUUCCAUCCCUAACGGCCUCGGGGAUGCGGUAAGGAGGCUGUCUCAAGGGGGCCUACCCUGGAGUGCUACCUUGUGGACUGCCAGAUGGGUAUACCCGGGUUCCUGGGAGAACGUGUCUUGUUUGGUUUACAGCAAGCGGAGCAAAUCUAUAUCCCUCGUCUCCCCAGCCUCUCCUAACAAAUCUGACAAGGGUAAAGCCUCUGUGUCCUCCCCGGCUUGAACACAUGUGGCCGUCACUUCUUCAGCCCUUUCGUUAUACGCCUUGAGCAUGUUGAUGUGAAAGGUCUGUUUCACAUCCUCAUUCUCACAGUUCGCUACUGUAUAUGUGGUAUCACAUACCUGCCCUAUGACUUUGUAUGGGCCCUGCCAGGCAGCCUGGAGCUUGUCCAUGCGGACUGGCCUUAAUACCAUGACCUUUUGCCCAAUUUGAACGCUGCGGUGCCUGGCUCUCUGAUCGUAUCAUACUUUCUGAUGCUGUUGAGCCACCUGGAGGUUCUCCCUUACCGUCUGGGCCAGUUCAUCCAUGUGGUCCCUCAACCACAGCACAUAGGACACGAUUGGAGUACCCUCAAUCUCGGUCUGGCCUUCCCAAUGAUUCUUAAUAAGGUCUAGGGGCCCCCUGACUCGCCUUCCGUACAGUAGCUCAAAGGGUGAGAAUCCCGUGGAUUCCUGAGGCACCUCCCGGUAUGCAAAGAGAAGUUUGUCAAAUUAAUAGCCCAAUAGAUAUAAUAUGGAAUAAUAAAAAUUUUAAUUUCUCAAUUUUUUUCAUAUGGAAACAAAUAUCUCCUAUAUGGAAUAAAAGAGAU